rnacentral:rRNA from 1 species
UUCCCCUAGUACUGCGAGUGAAGCGGGAAAAGCUCAAAUUUAAAAUCUGGCGGUCUUUUGGCUGUCCGAGUUGUAAUCUAGAGAAGUGUUAUCCGCGCUGGACCGUGUACAAGUCUCCUGGAAUGGAGCAUCAUAGAGGGUGAGAAUCCCGUCUUUGACAUGGACUGCCAGGGCUUUGUGAUGCGCUCUCAAAGAGUCGAGUUGUUUGGGAAUGCAGCUCAAAAUGGGUGGUAAAUUCCAUCUAAAGCUAAAUAUUGGCGAGAGACCGAUAGCGAACAAGUACCGUGAGGGAAAGAUGAAAAGAACUUUGGAAAGAGAGUUAAACAGUACGUGAAAUUGCUGAAAGGGAAACGCUUGAAGUCAGUCGCGUUGUCCAGGGAUCAACCUUGCUUUUGCUUGGUGCACUUCCUGGUUCGACGGGUCAGCAUCAAUUUUGAUCGUUGGAAAAAGGCUGGGGGAAUGUGGCAUCUCUGGAUGUGUUAUAGCCCUUGGUCACAUACAAUGGUUGGGAUUGAGGAACUCAGCACGCCGCAAGGCCGGGUUUUAAACCACGUACGUGCUUAGGAUGCUGGCAAUAUGGCUUUAAUCGACCCGUCUUGAAACACGGACCAAGGAGUCUAACAUGCCUGCGAGUGUUUGGGUGGAAAACCCGAGCGCGUAAUGAAAGUGAAAAGUUGAGAUCCCUGUCGUGGGGAGCAUCGACGCCCGGACCAGACCUUUUGUGACGGUUCCGCGGUAGAGCAUGUAUGUUGGGACCCGAAAGAUGGUGAACUAUGCCUGAAUAGGGUGAAUCCAGAGGAAACUCUGGUGGAGGCUCGUAGCGAUUCUGACGUGCAAAUCGAUCGUCAAAUUUGGGUAUAGGGGCGAAAGACU